rnacentral:rRNA from 1 species
GACGAACGCUGGCGGCGUGCUUAACACAUGCAAGUCGAACGGAAAGGCCCUGCUUUUGUGGGGUGCUCGAGUGGCGAACGGGUGAGUAACACGUGAGUAACCUGCCCUUGACUUUGGGAUAACUUCAGGAAACUGGGGCUAAUACCGGAUAGGAGCUCCUGCUGCAUGGUGGGGGUUGGAAAGUUUCGGCGGUUGGGGAUGGACUCGCGGCUUAUCAGCUUGUUGGUGGGGUAGUGGCUUACCAAGGCUUUGACGGGUAGCCGGCCUGAGAGGGUGACCGGCCACAUUGGGACUGAGAUACGGCCCAGACUCCUACGGGAGGCGGCAGUGGGGAAUAUUGCACAAUGGGCGGAAGCCUGAUGCAGCAACGCCGCGUGCGGGAUGAAGGCCUUCGGGUUGUAAACCGCUUUCGCCUGUGACGAAGCGUGAGUGACGGUAAUGGGUAAAGAAGCACCGGCUAACUACG